rnacentral:rRNA from 1 species
ACGAACGCUGGCGGCGUGCUUAACACAUGCAAGUGGAGCGACGAACCGGGCUUCGGCCCGGGGCAAAGCCGCGAACGGGUGAGUAUCACGUGGGUAACCUGCCCCGAUGACCGGGACAACCCGAGGAAACUCGGGCUAAUACCGGAUGUGCCCUCAAUCCACCAGGGUUGGGAGGAAAGGAAGCUUCGGCCUCCGCAUUGGGAUGGGCCCGCGGCCCAUUAGCUUGUUGGUGAGGUAACGGCUCACCAAGGCUGCGAUGGGUAGCUGGUCUGAGAGGACGAUCAGCCACACUGGGACUGAGACACGGCCCAGACUCCUACGGGAGGCAGCAGUGGGGAAUCUUGCGCAAUGCGCGAAAGCGUGACGCAGCAACGCCGCGUGAGGGAAGAAGGCCUUCGGGUUGUAAACCUCUUUCAGGAGGGACGAAGGUUCAGGCGCGAAUAGCGUCCUGGACUGACGGUACCUCCAGAAGAAGCCCCGGCUAACUACGUGCCAGCAGCCGCGGUAAUACGUAGGGGGCUAGCGUUGUCCGGAAUCAUUGGGCGUAAAGCGCGCGUAGGCGGCCCGGUAAGUCCGCUGUAAAAGUCAAAGGCUCAACCUUUGAAUGUCAGUGGAUACUGCAGGGCUAGAGUCCGGAAGAGGCGAGUGGAACUCCUGGUGUAGCGGUGGAAUGCGUAGAUAUCAGGAGGAACACCGGUGGCGAAGGCGGCUCUCUGGGUCGGACCUGACGCUGAGGCGCGAAAGCGUGGGGAGCGAACGGGAUUAGAUACCCCGGUAGUCCACGCCGUAAACGAUGGUCACUAGGUGUGUGCGGUAUCGACCCCGCACGUGCCGCAGCUAACGCAAUAAGUGACCCGCCUGGGGAGUACGGCCGCAAGGUUUGAAACUCAAAGGAAUUGACGGGGGCCCGCACAAGCGGUGGAGCAUGUGGAUUAAUACGUCACUAACCGUAGAACCUUACCCAGGCUUGACAUCCCGCGAACCUUCCUGAAAGGGAGGGGUGCCCGCAAGGGAGCGCGGAGACAGGUGUUGCAUGGCUGUCGUCAGCUCGUGUCGUGAGAUGUUGGGUUAAGUCCCGCAACGAGCGCAACCCUCACCGUCUGUUGCCAGCGUAAAGUCGGGCACUCUGACGGAACUGCCCGUGCAAACGGGAGGAAGGUGGGGACGACGUCAAGUCAGCAUGGCCCUUACGCCUGGGGCUUCACACAUGCUACAAUGGCCGGUACAGAGGGUUCCGAUACCGUGAGGUGGAGGCAAUCCCAAAAAGCCGGUCUCAGUUCGGAUCGCAGGCUGCAACUCGCCUGCGUGAAGUCGAAUCGCUAGUAACCGCCGUCAGCUAACGNCGGUGAUACGUCCCGGGCAUGCAC